GAGACUGGCCGAGGUGCUUAGUCGCAGUCGCCAUUUUGUCGGGUAGUCGUCGGGAUCGUCGUGUCUCUCUCAGUCGUCGGGGAUUUCGUCCGUAUUUCGUUCGGGCGAAGUGAAACGCGCCGCCGAAUUUGGAUACCCGAUAGCCCCACGCGUAACGUCACCCCGCAAAUGGCUUGUCUGAACACUCUCAAGCAGGAAAUCAAAACGCUCGAAUCCGUCUUCCCCAAGAGCCAUGAGAGGUUUCAGAUAAUGUCUGCGAGCGUGGACGAGCUCAGCUGCAGAUUCGUCGGUAAAAAUGGGAAGAAGUACGAAAUACACGCCAAUAUUACAGAAACUUACCCUUCAACACCACCAGUUUGGUUUGCCGAAUCCGAAGAAACUAGUGUUACAAAUGCUGUACAAAUUUUAAGUAACACGACGGGACGCGACAACCACGUAAUCAACCAAGUUGGAAUUCUUUUGAAAGAAUUAUGCAGAUUACAUUCGUUACCAGAACCACCAGAUGUCGAAAGACUCAGAACUGCUUUGGAUCCCUUACGUUUAGGAGGACCAAACGAAGCAGUGGCGCAAAGGAUGGACGCCGAAGAUAUAGAUGAUAUUGACGAGGACGAAGAGAGCGAGACUGAAGAAGACUUACACUUGGAUAUGGAUGAAGGAGACGCUAAUGCUAAGAGUAAGAGUGAAGAAAUGGAUUUGGAACAUCUUGCAACAUUGGAAAGGUUGAGACAGAAUCAGAGACAAGAUUAUUUGAAAGGAUCUGUUUGUGGAAGUGUGCAAGCUACUGAUAGACUCAUGAAAGAACUACGUGAUAUAUAUCGAAGUGACAGCUUUAAAAAAGGCAUGUAUAGCAUAGAACUAGUAAAUGACAGUUUGUAUGAAUGGAAUAUCAGGUUGAUGUGUGUAGAUCCUGAUUCACCACUUCACAGCGAUCUCAUUCUUUUGAAAGAGAAAGAGGGCAAAGACAGUAUUCUUCUCAACAUGCUUUUCAAGGAAACCUAUCCAUUUGAACCUCCAUUUGUAAGAGUUGUACAUCCCAUCAUUUCUGGUGGUUAUGUUCUUGUGGGAGGUGCUAUUUGUAUGGAACUUCUUACAAAACAAGGGUGGAGUUCGGCAUACACAGUAGAAGCUGUUAUAAUGCAAAUUUCAGCAACGUUAGUGAAAGGAAAAGCACGUAUACAGUUCCAAGGAUCAGGUGGUGCUGGAAAAGUGUGUGGUGGACAAGGCCAAUAUAGUUUGGCGCGUGCCCAACAGUCAUUCAAGUCUCUUGUACAAAUACAUGAAAAAAAUGGUUGGUUUACACCCCCGAAAGAGGAUGGCUAAUGAACAGCGAUUACAAAGUACCGAAAAUAUGACACAUGCUUACAACUGAGACUUUAAUUCGGUGUGUGCCCAACAAGUAAUUGUUAUGAUAAUGAUUUGAUACACAAACACAACAGUAACUAGGGAGAGCACCCGGUUCACGCGGAACAUAAAUAAGUGACCGAAGCCUGAUAUAUAAAGUAUGAUACAAGCAUGAUAUGGAAAUCAUUACAUCCACAUGUACCUGGUUCCGCAUUCUAAUCAAGAUAGCACGAGAAGUAAUAAUCUCCGUUUCGCCUGAACCGUGGUAUUUGAUCGUAUCCAUUUGAUACUCUGGAUAUAACGACUUUGUGUAUCAUGUUAAGUAUGUGGUAUAACUUAACUCUCAUAUUGUAACAUUUUCUGACGAGGGUAUAGACUUUCGGAUCGAAGCAGCGUGUGUCGUGCACGUCGAGAGAAACUGCGGUUGAAAUUCCUCUCAUUUUUUAGUUUUUACCAACUUUUUCGCAUUGCACACCCGCUCUUCUCUCUUUUUCUGCGAAAUAUUCUCUCGUAUGUCGUUACCUUCUCGACGUGGACGAUGUUCGUCGAGUCUAAGCCCAUAAGUUAACUUAUGUCUACUCUGUCCGCGUACCUACUUGCGUAAUUAAUUCAUCGGUCAAUCGAGAAAGAUCGAUUAAUUUUUGUUAAUCGGUCAGGUCGUCUCAUUGUCAAUAUCUCUAUAAUCUUAAGAUUACUCUACGUAUCUUAAAUCUGCUCCACUUGUAUAUCGUACCAUUAUUGAUUUGAGUGAAAGUUUCCAUGAUUCUAAUAAUCGAGCAUUAUACUUUCUCUCUUUCUCUCUUUCUCUUCUCUGUCUCUCUAUCUCUAUUUCUAUCUCUUUCUACAUUUUCUUUCUAUUUCACACACCACAAUUUCACGUUAAGUUACGUUAAUUAUUGUUUAGGAAAACGCUACGAAAAAUACAGAAAAUAAAAGAUUUUAA
rnacentral:misc_RNA from 1 species